AAGCAUCUUGUUGACACAUCUUCAUCACUUUGGAAUUUGAGCAACAACAUUUACCCCUUCUGAAACUCACCCAGAGGAAGCGGAUUUUCUGACGCAUAUGAAGAGUGAGAACUGUCUACAUCUAAGUCUUCUUUGAGAACAAUACCAGCUGAGCGGCUAUUUACAUUCCAGCUUCUUUUGAGAAUCUCUGAAGAUGAUUAAGUCAUUGUCAGCUGGCCCAGAACCAUAUCCUGCUCCACAAGCCUCGUCCUUGGCAAGAAGUUGCACCUGCCCAGAGAGAAAACCUUUUGAAACUGGCACAAAGGCACUGGAGAGACUGGCAGGGCCCCCUACUUGACGAUCUGGCUCAUCCAUCUGCACACUGACCACGCUAAGAGCUGUCUGCAGUGAUGGAAACCUUCUCUAGCUGUGCUGUCCUCUAUAGUGGCACCAGCUGCCUGUGGCUACUGAGCACUUCAACUGUGGCUGCAGAGACUAUGUUAAAUUGUAUUUAAUCAUAAUUAAUUUAAUUGUAAACAACUACAUGUGGCUAGUGGUUUCUGUACUGGGCACUGCAGGUGCACAUUUCCUGCUGGCCAUGGACAGUAAGCUCCAUAAGAGACUAAUUGUGCCUGGUUUGCUUAUAGGCUUAUCCUCAGCACCUGCACCAGCCUAGAAUAUGAUUGGCACUCUAUUAAUUAAAAGUUCCCAGGUAAAUGAA
rnacentral:lncRNA from 10 species